rnacentral:rRNA from 1 species
AAAUGAAUUGACGGGGGCCCGCACAAGCAGCGGAGCAUGUGGUUUAAUUCGAAGCAACGCGAAGAACCUUACCUAGACUUGACAUCCCCUGAAUUACCUGUAAUUAGGGAAGCCCUCCGGGGCAGGGAGACAGGUGGUGCAUGGUUGUCGUCAGCUCGUGUCGUGAGAUGUUAGGUUAAGUCCUGCAACGAGCGCAACCCCUAUCAUUAGUUGCUACCAUUAAGUUGAGCACUCUAGUGAGACUGCCCGGGUCAACCGGGAGGAAGGUGGGGAUGACGUCAAAUCAUCAUGCCCCUUAUGUCUAGGGCUACACACGUGCUACAAUGGUGAAUACAGAGAGAUGCAAACCCGCAAGGGUGAGCCAAACUUUAAAAUUCACCUCAGUUCGGAUUGCAGGCUGAAACCCGCCUGCAUGAAGCUGGAGUUGCUAGUAAUCGCGAAUCAGAAUGUCGCGGUGAAUGCGUUCCCGGGCCUUGUACACACCGCCCGU